CCUGUAGCUGGGGCAAAGGACCACUAAGGGGCGCUGUUGUCUCUGGUCAGUAACGAUGGCGCUACUGCUGUGCGCAUUAACGCUGGGAUUUACGGAGUCAGACACGAAGUGCUCCACGAACGUCCAAUCAUUUCAUUCUAACGAGAACCCCAAGAAGGACGCAGAGAGGUGCUGAGAGGGGAGGUUGAUUAUCCAACGUCACACAGCUAGGAAGUCAGGGAGACAAGAUUCGAAUCCAUAAACUAGUGUCAGAAGUCGUCACUGCAAAAAUGCAAAGAUACCAACCAUCUCCGCCUGCCCAGGCCCUCAAAAUCAGGAAAACAUUUCUCCUGAUGAUCAAGAUACAGUGCUGAGCUUGGAGGAAAUUCACUACUAAUCCAACAAAAUUAGAGAUGGAGUCUUGCUCUGUUGCCCAGGCUGGAGUGC